GGGAUUAGGUAGAAAAUCCCAUCCUCACCGACGCAACUGGCGGAGUCCCCUACAGCCAAGUUUAAUUCCGAACAACGAGUAGAUGUUUUUCUAAGGCCACCAGGUUGCUUCGGGUAGGAGUAGGAAAUGCCUGCAUGACGAGUUGGGUAAACGCGGAUACCCCAGCCACCGAUGGGCUUUUUGUCCACGAGCGCGGACCUACCGCAUGGCUCCCAUUUGCGAACACGUGCCCGAAGCCAGCAUUUAGAUUUGCGGGGGAUUGAACUUUUGUUUUUUUUUCUAUCUAAUCCUUUGGUUGGCCAUGUGGACCGGCAACAGGGAAUUACACCUACUCUUCAAUUAAUGAACACUCAUGCAGCACAUGCCGCAAUGUACC
rnacentral:lncRNA from 1 species